AGAAUGAACGCUGGCGGCAUGCCUAACACAUGCAAGUCGAACGAAGGCUUCGGCCUUAGUGGCGCACGGGUGCGUAACGCGUGGGAAUCUACCCUUAGGUUCGGAAUAACAGUUGGAAACGACUGCUAAUACCGGAUGAUGACGUAAGUCCAAAGAUUUAUCGCCUAGGGAUGAGCCCGCGUAGGAUUAGCUAGUUGGUGUGGUAAAGGCGCACCAAGGCGACGAUCCUUAGCUGGUCUGAGAGGAUGAUCAGCCACACUGGGACUGAGACACGGCCCAGACUCCUACGGGAGGCAGCAGUGGGGAAUAUUGGACAAUGGGCGAAAGCCUGAUCCAGCAAUGCCGCGUGAGUGAUGAAGGCCUUAGGUUGUAAAGCUCUUUUACCCGGGAUGAUAAUGACAGUACCGGGAGAAUAAGCUCCGGCUAACUCCGUGCCAGCAGCCGC
rnacentral:rRNA from 1 species